GUUCAGGUUAUAUUGUAUGUCUAUGUAGUUCAGAGAAAUAUUGUAUGUCUAUGAGAGAAUGAGAGAAAUCCAUUAAAGAAAACGUAGUGACCUAUGACCGUAAUAUGAUAAGAUUCAUAUACUAGCCGUGUCUUAUCCAACCUCGACAAGUCGACAUUGGCAGAAUCAUCAACACCUUGAUGGAGCCAUAACACGAAAAAUUGAUUGAUAGUGAUUAUGCUCUUUGCAUUAAAGAUUUGGAGCUUGUGGAGAUUAGAGAAACACGAGGGUCUGGCGGCGGUAAUAUGUCCGGUAUGUCCGGGCACAGAGAAACAUCAAACAAGUCCUGCAUUAUCAAUCAUUUGAAGCUAUGACAAGUGCAAAUAAACUUGAAGAUGGAAAGGAAAUCACCGCUUCUAUGGAAGAAGAAAACGAAACAAGUGUAGAAGACAACAUGUGUUGAUCAUGCUAGAAUUAUGUGUCCGUGUCGUCCGCGGAAGCCAAAAAUAAAGAUUUGCCAUUCGAAAAAAAGAAGACCAGAUUCACGUGCUUCUAUCUAUCUUUCUUCGUGCUUGUAUCUUUCUUCUUUUUGCACCGUCGCGCAAAAAGAAGAAAGAUAUAGCCAUCCAAACUGGUUCAGAUGAGAAACACAGCACUCGUGUACAGGUUGUGUAGGUGUAAAGACCACGCUUGUGCCUGAUUCUUAUUUUUUUAUAUAUUUAUUAAUAGAUUGGUAUAAAUUCCUAUAAAUUUACUUUGCCAUGGUAAAAACUAACAAACAAGUAUCUUUCACAAAUAAAGAAAUAGCAAGAAGAAUUGGACAGACAUGGAAGAAAUAUUGGUCUAUGAAGGAUAUAUUCAAGAAUAAAAUACCAAUGAAACUCAAAAAACUAGCCUUUGAUUCAUGCAUACUACCCUGUCUUACAUAUGGCAGUCAAACAUGGUCACUCACAGGAGAUCUCAUCAAACAAAUUCAAGUAUGUCAACGGUCAAUAGAGAGAAGUGUCCUUAACAUAAAAUUAACUAACAGAGUUAGAAACAUAGAGAUAAGAAGGCGAACUAAAUUUAGAGACGCGGCAGUACAUAUUUUAAAGCAAAAAUACAAUUGGGCAGGGCACAUAGCCAGAAUGAAAAAUAACAGAUGGACAAAAAUAGCUACGAAUUGGAAUCCAAAAGUUGGCAAAAGAAAAAAGGGCAAACCAAAAACAAGAUGGGAAAAAGACCUCAUAGAAA